UAGAUGAUCCAGUUCGACGCCUGACCCGAUUGCGCAAUCCAUUCAUUUCGUCUCGAUUACGAGCUCACUCUCACAGCUUCUUAGCCCAACAAUGGCGGCAGUGCCGAGCUUUGGCCUCCACCGUCUACCUUCACGGCCAUGGCUACAAAGCCUCUGUUCCACGAGAAGACCUGCUCCUUCUCCACGUUCUAUCUCGAUACUUUCUUCUCUCUCCUCAGUCGAAGACACCGACGACACUCUGCUGAACACAACAGCAGAAAAACCUAACAGUACUACUAGCAGUAACAACAGAAAUGAUAAGGCGAAAAAGUCAUUUUUUCCUAGGCGAGGGCAGAUCUUGGAGCUGGUUUGUGAAUCUCUAGCGUUCAAAGGCAAAGGCGUUUGCAAGGUCGCCGAUUCUGGCUUCGUGGUACUGUGCGACCGUGCUCUCCCCGGAGAACGCUUCAUUGGCGUCGUCACUCGCAAAAAAGACAAUUAUGCUGAGGUUAGGAAAAUGAAGACCAUUACACCUCAUUGGGACUAUGUUGAAGCGCCAUGUGAAUAUGCUUCACAUUGUGGAGGUUGCAAGACCCAGAAUUUAUCAUACGAAGCUCAGCUCAAAGCCAAAGAGCAACAAGUUCAUGAGCUUGUUGUACAUGUAGGCAAGUUCUCGGAUCAAAAUCCAGAAUUUGCUCAUGUGAUGAAACCCAUUGUUCCUUGUGAUAUCCAGUUUGGGUAUAGAAACAAGAUGGAGUUCUCCUUUGGCCCAAAAGGCUGGGUACCUGCAGAGCUGUUACAGGAACGCAAAAAUGCUAGAGAAUAUGCUCUAGGAUUGCAUGCUCCUGGAUUUUUUGAUAAGGUUCUGAAUGUCAACAAAUGUUUAUUACAAAGUGACCCAGCUAACAAGGUUCUUGCAACUGUGCAAGAAUAUUGGAGGGAUCUGGAGUUUGGCCUUUCUCCUUAUGAUGUCCACUCUCAUUCUGGCUAUCUGAAACAUCUAAUGCUGAGAAGCGGCAGGGAUUGCAAAACUGGUCUUCCUGAGCUUAUGGUUAAUUUUGUGACCUCUUCGUACAGCCCAGAGCUAUUGAAACCCAUUGUGGAGAAAAUUGCAACUAUCCCUGAAGUGGUAAGCAUUGUUAAUAAUGUGAAUACGUCUAUAGGCAACACAUCUGUUGGCGAGGAAGAAUACACAUUGUAUGGCAAAUCUGCUAUCACAGAGAGUUUAAGAGGGCUUACUUUUCAGAUUUCAGCAAACUCUUUCUUCCAGACAAACACACACCAGGCAGAGAUUCUUUACAAAUUAAUUGAGGACUGUGCCUCUCUCAAAGGAGAUGGCUCAGAAGUUGUUCUUGACCUAUUCUGUGGGACAGGAACCAUUGGUCUUACUCUGGCCAAAAGAGUGCGGCAUGUUUAUGGUUAUGAAGUCGUUGCUCAAGCAAUCUCAGAUGCAAAUCAGAAUGCAAAGCUCAAUGGAAUCUGUAAUGCAACAUUCAUUGAAGGAGAUCUUAACAAGAUUGAUGAAAACUUUGGCAGCAAUUUUCCCAAGCCUGACAUUGUCAUUACAGAUCCAAAUCGUCCAGGAAUGCACAUGAAAUUGAUUAAGUUUCUGCUAAAUUUGAAGGCAGCUCGCAUUGUCUAUGUAUCAUGUAACCCUGCCACUUGUGCUCGUGACCUUAAUUACCUCUGUUUUGGUGUACCUGAGAAAAAUAUAAGUGGGUGCUACAAGCUUAGUAAAUUGCAACCAGUGGACAUGUUCCCACAUACUCCUCACAUUGAAUGUGUUUGUUUGCUGGAGCUUCUUUCAUAAUCGGCUCGGCUAGGCAUUAGUCCCAGAGGAAAUUCAGAGAGAUAUGGACGCAAUCUGUGCAAGUGCAUCCAGAAUCAUUCUUGUUCUCAGGGUGUGGAAAGGUCACACUGAAUGAGGCGAAUUGGCAUAAUAUAGUUGGAAUGCUCCCAUUUUUGGUUUGGAAAGUGAGCUGAAGGGCUUCCCUAAAGGAUUUUAAGUGGAGCCAUGCUUCAAGGCAGUCUUGGUUUAUUGUUUUUCUUGGACAACAGCAAUGAAACAGACGAGACUGACAUCUUGAGUAUGGAUUUACUUGCUGCUUUGCCAUACAAUCCUCGAAUGAUACUAAUUCUUAUACAACACAAAUGGAUCCUUUGAGAAAUCGUUUGUUGAAUGUGGACAGACAUCGAUCCAUGCAAAUCCAAACCUACAGAUUCUGCACUGUAAUGGCUCAGUUCGAAACUUGGAAAUUGCAGGUCACCUAUUGGUUGGCUACUUGUUUGUUUGUUUGUUUUUUUAAUCUAAAAGUCAAGCCUUGAAUUGGAGAGGUUGAGCAAGCGAUGUGGCAUGGUGUAUACGAAUAUAUUAGGGCGGGUAUAUAAUUAGUUUGUAGACAUUAUAUAGUUUGCAAGAAAACUUUAUUGACGUUGCACUUUA